rnacentral:rRNA from 1 species
UACGUAGGGGGCAAGCGUUAUCCGGAUUUACUGGGUGUAAAGGGAGCGCAGACGGCAGUGCAAGUCUGGAGUGAAAGCCCGGGGCCCAACCCCGGAACUGCUCUGGAAACUGUGCGGCUAGAGUACUGGAGGGGCAGGCGGAAUUCCUAGUGUAGCGGUGAAAUGCGUAGAUAUUAGGAGGAACACCAGUGGCGAAGGCGGCCUGUUGGACAGUAACUGACGUUGAGGCUCGAAAGCGUGGGGAGCAAACAGG